AUUGAACGCUGGCGGCAGGCCUAACACAUGCAAGUCGAGCGAGCGGCGGACGGGUGAGUAAUGUCUGGGAAACUGCCUGAUGGAGGGGGAUAACUACUGGAAACGGUAGCUAAUACCGCAUACCAUCAGAUGUGCCAAGAUGGGAUUAGCUAGUCGGUGGGGUAACGGCUCACCUAGGCGACGAUCCCUAGCUGGUCUGAAAGGAUGACCAGUAAAACGGGAACUGAGACACGGUCCAGACUCCUACGGGAGGCAGCAGUGGGGAAGAUUGCACAAUGGGCGCAAUCCUGAUGCAGCCAUGCCGCGUGUGUGAAGAAGCCCUUCGGGUUGUAAAGCACUUUCAGCGGGGAGGCGUUACCCGCAGAAGAAGCACCGGCUAACUCCGUGCCAGCCGCCGCGGUAAUAC
rnacentral:rRNA from 1 species